rnacentral:rRNA from 1 species
UACGUAGGGUGCGAGCGUUGUCCGGAAUUAUUGGGCGUAAAGGGCUCGUAGGCGGUUUGUCGCGUCGGGAGUGAAAACUCAGGGCUUAACCCUGAGCCUGCUUCCGAUACGGGCAGACUAGAGGUAUGCAGGGGAGAACGGAAUUCCUGGUGUAGCGGUGAAAUGCGCAGAUAUCAGGAGGAACACCGGUGGCGAAGGCGGGUCUCUGGGCAACAACUGACGCUGAGGAGCGAAAGCGUGGGGAGCGAACAGG